GAGGAAGUAAAAGUCGUAACAAGGUUUCCGUAGGUGAACCUGCGGAAGGAUCAUUACUGAAGUGCUUGGAGAUGUUCUGGCUUUCUCUCUGCGAGGAAGCAACGUGCACUCUUCCAACCUCUCACAAUUUUCUUCACAAACCCCCUUGUGCACUCUCCGUAGGGAGGUUUAUACCCUUGCUAGCCUGGCGAGGGAAAACAACCCUAUGUUGCUUUUAAUACUUACAGCAUUUGAAUGUAUGGCAAAUAAAAACCACAUGAAACAACUUUCAACAAUGGAUCUCUUGGCUCUCGCAUCGAUGAAGAACGCAGCGAAAUGCGAUACGUAAUAAUUGCAGAAUUCCGUGGAAUCAUUGAAUCUUUGAACGCAUCUUGCGCCUCUUGGUAUCCCGAGGGGCAUGCCUGUUUGAGUGUCAUUGAAAUAUUCAAAGGCUUCCGAGGGUUGCUUUUGGACAUUGAGGGUUUGUGCUGGCUUAACACAAGCCCAGCUCCCUUCAAAUGGAUUAGCGGUGGCUGAUUCCUUUUCGAGCCCGAGCUUGCUUCUGGCAUUGAUAGACUUUCAUAUGCCUGGGAACCAAGCCGGUUAAGGAGGGUGGCUGCCGCUUACAACAGUCCUCUUGAAAUGGACAACGAUGACAAACUUGACCUAAAUCAUAGGACUACCCGCUGAACUUAAGCAUAUCAAUAAGCGGAGGAAAAGAAACUAACAAGGAUUCCCUCAGUAACUGCGAGUGAAGCGGGAAGAGCUCAAAUUUAAAAUCUGGCAGCUCUUUGGGCUGUCCGAGUUGUAAUCUAGAGAAGUGUUUUCUGCCCUGGACCCUGU
rnacentral:rRNA from 1 species